rnacentral:rRNA from 1 species
UACGUAGGUGGCAAGCGUUAUCCGGAUUUACUGGGUGUAAAGGGCGAGUAGGCGGGAUUGCAAGUCAGAUGUGAAAACUAUGGGCUCAACCGAUAGAGUGCAUUUGAAACUGCAGUUCUUGAGUGAUGGAGAGGCAGGCGGAAUUCCCGGUGUAGCGGUGGAAUGCGUAGAUAUCACGCAGAACUCCGAUUGCGAAGGCAGCUUACUAAGCCAUAACUGACACUGAAGCACGAAAGCGUGGGGAUCAAAAAGG